rnacentral:rRNA from 1 species
UAACACAUGCAAGUCGAGCGAGAAAGCACUUCGGUGUGAGUACAGCGGCGGACGGGUGAGUAACGCGUAAGAAUCUACCUGGUAGUGGGGGACAACUCGGGGAAACUCGAGCUAAUACCGCAUACGCCCUACGGGGGAAAGCGGGGGACCUUCGGGCCUCGCGCUAUCAGAUGAGCUUGCGUUGGAUUAGCUAGUUGGUGGGGUAAAGGCCUACCAAGGCGACGAUCUUUAGCUGGUCUGAGAGGAUGAUCAGUCACACUGGAACUGAGACACGGUCCAGACACCUACGGGUGGCAGCAGUCGAGAAUCAUUCACAAUGGGGGAAACCCUGAUGGUGCGACGCCGCGUGGGGGAUGAAUGGCUUCGGUCAGUAAACCCCUGUCAUUAGUGAACAAACCUUUUAGAGUAAUAUUUUAAAAGCUGAUAGUAGCUAAAGAGGAAGGGACGGCUAACUCUGUGCCAGCAGCCGCGGUAAUACAGAGGUCCCAAGCGUUGUUCGGAUUCACUGGGCGUAAAGAGUGCGUAGGUGGCUAGGUAAGUUUGAUGUGAAAGCUCCGAGCUCAACUCGGAAAUUGCAUUGAAAACUGCUUGGCUAGAGGGUCGGAAGGGAGACUGGAAUUUUCGGUGUAGCAGUGAAAUGCGUAGAUAUCGAGAGGAACACCAGUGGCGAAGGCGAGUCUCUGGACGAAUCCUGACACUGAGGCACGAAAGCUAGGGUAGCAAACAGGAUUAGAUACCCUGGUAGUCC